AGCGACCAUGACUGUCAGUUGCUUUGGAUAAAAGCAUCUGCUAAAUGGCAUAUA
rfam:Salmo salar isolate Sally breed double haploid chromosome ssa16, whole genome shotgun sequence.